AUGUGUAAAUUUUACUUGUGUCAGGGCCUUUUUUUAUAAUUUUACCCAAAAGAAAAACUGUGUCUUAAUUCUUUUGUCCCUCAUUCGGCAAUCAAGCCAUUGAUUGGCACUCAAAAGUUGAGCAUUAAACAAACCCGAAAUUGCAGCUCAAUUAGUGUGUCAAGCAAUUGCCAAAUAGAAUAAAUCCUAUUUCCUUGAUCUAUCUGCUGCAAUGUUCAAAUGCUCAUGCUUACAGUUCAAGCUUUAUUCUUGCUGUGCACAAAAAUUCCCAAAUUCAUGCACAAUAAGAACCACAAAUAAUUAAAAUGACAGCUACUGAAGCAGUACAAAAAUCUAACAAAAAACAUGCCUAUAAGCACGUGGUCAAAUCAACAGAUCUUCUAAUUCUGACCAAUCUAUGAUACUUUAUCCCUAUCAAAGAGACAAAUAACAAUAAAGGUAGUCACUAACAAAUUUUCGAAAAUAUGCA
rnacentral:misc_RNA from 1 species